rnacentral:lncRNA from 1 species
AUCAGGGAAAGGCAAUAACCAUGGUGCUCAGUCUGGUCCAUUACUUCUGAAACAAACCUCUGUCAUCAGUGUGGUUCCUAUUAGCUGGAGAGCUGCCUGGAAAGGCUGUGAUGUUUCACCUUCCUCUUCAGAGCAAGACCUACAGUUGCCCUGUUGCCAUGGCAGUCACUAAAGGGAUAAGAAGGUAACUCGCACAGGGAGGAUGAUACCCCUGCCAGCUCCAGUGCCUGGAGAGGUAAGAUCUGCC